UAUCUGAAGACGUGAUGUGGACUGAAAAUAAGUAGGGAAGCACGUGAGCUGACUGUCAAGAAAAGCCGCUAUUGUUUGCAGGAUACCCGUACCGUAAACCGACACAGGUGGAUGAGGAGAGAAUCCUAAGGCCGACGGGAGAAGCAUUGUUAAGGAACUCGGCAAAAUGACUCCGUAACUUCGGGAGAAGGAGUGCCAGUAAGAUGGCCGCAGAGAAUUGGCCCAAGCAACUGUUUAGUAAAAACACAGGUCUAUGCAAAACCGAAAGGUGAGGUAUAUGGGCUGACGCCUGCCCGGUGCUGGAAGGUUAAGGGGAGAGGUUAGCGCAAGCGAAGCUUUGAACUUAAGCCCCAGUAAACGGCGGCCGUAACAAUAACGGUCCUAAGGUAGCGAAAUUCCUUGUCGGGUAAGUUCCGACCCGCACGAAAGGCGUAAUGAUUUGGGCACUGUCUCAACAAUGCACCCGGUGAAAUUGAAAUACCAGUGAAGAUGCUGGUUACCUGCGCCAGGACGGAAAGACCCCAUGGAGCUUUACUCCAGCUUGAUACUGGGAUUCGGUAUUGCAUGUACAGGAUAGGUGGGAGGCUAGGAAAUGGUAACGCCAGUUGCCAUGGAGCCAAUGUUGGGAUACCACCCUUGCAGUACUGGGUUUCUAACCAGCAGCCGUGAUCCGGCUGGGGGACAAUGUCAGGUGGGGAGUUUGACUGGGGCGGUCGCCUCCGAAAGGGUAUCGGAGGCGCUCAAAGGUUCCCUCAGAAUGGUUGGAAACCAUUCGAAGAGUGCAAAGGCAGAAGGGAGCUUGACUGCGACACCGACGGGUGGAGCAGGUACGAAAGUAGGACUUAGUGAUCCGGUGGUAUAAAGUGGGAUUGCCAUCGCUCAACGGAUAAAAGCUACCCUGGGAUAACAGGCUUAUCACUCCCAAGAGUUCACAUCGACGGAGUGGUUUGGCACCUCGAUGUCGGCUCAUCGCAUCCUGGGGCUGAAGUAGGUCCCAAGGGUUGGGCUGUUCGCCCAUUAAAGCGGUACGCGAGCUGGGUUCAGAACGUCGUGAGACAGUUCGGUCCCUAUCCGGCGUGGGCGUAAGAUAUUUGAGAGGAGCUGUCCUUAGCACGAGAGGACCGGGAUGGACUGGCCGCUGGUGUAUCUGUUGUCUUACCAAAGGCAUAGCAGAGUAGCCAAGCCGGGAAGGGAUAAACGCUGAAGGCAUCUAAGCGUGAAGCCCCCCUCAAGAUGAGAUAUCUCAUAACGUCAAGUUAGUAAGACCCCUUGAAGACGACGAGGUAGAUAGGGCAGAGGUGGAAGUGUGGUAACACAUGGAGCUGACUGUUACUAAUAGGUCGAGGGCAUAACCG
rnacentral:rRNA from 1 species